rnacentral:rRNA from 1 species
GAUGAACGCUGGCGGCGUGCCUAAUACAUGCAAGUCGAGCGAACGGACGAGAAGCUUGCUUCUCUGAUGUUAGCGGCGGACGGGUGAGUAACACGUGGAUAACCUACCUAUAAGACUGGGAUAACUUCGGGAAACCGGAGCUAAUACCGGAUAAUAUUUUGAACCGCAUGGUUCAAAAGUGAAAGACGGCCUUGCUGUCACUUAUAGAUGGAUCCGCGCUGCAUUAGCUAGUUGGUAAGGUAACGGCUUACCAAGGCAACGAUGCAUAGCCGACCUGAGAGGGUGAUCGGCCACACUGGAACUGAGACACGGUCUAGACUCCUACGGGAGGCAGCAGUAGGGAAUCUUCCGCAAUGGGCGAAAGCCUGACGGAGCAACGCCGCGUGAGUGAUGAAGGUCUUCGGAUCGUAAAACUCUGUUAUUAGGGAAGAACAUAUGUGUAAGUAACUGUGCACAUCUUGACGGUACCUAAUCAGAAAGCCACGGCUAACUACGUG